GGUAAGGACAUGGCACCCCAAUGUGGUACUGUAGAUUUCAUCAUGGGGUAACACCGAUUUCCUUGAAAACGAGAGAUCCAAUCAAAUAAAAGUCUCUUCUUCUUCUUUUUUUUUUUUCAUGGAAGAAAGUAAAUAAUUCUAGACGCUUUAAAAAGAUAAUGCAAAUUCAACGUUUUCAUUAUCCUGAAUUAAAUGAUUAAAUCAUUUGAAUGGAAAAAAGAGUAUUCUUAAAAGAGCUUAAACCCCCAUUUCAACAAUUUUUUUUAACUUCACAAUUAGUUUACAAAAAACAGAAUUGGUCAUCUAAGCCUAAAA
rnacentral:lncRNA from 1 species